rnacentral:rRNA from 1 species
GACGAACGCUGGCGGCGUGCCUAAUACAUGCAAGUAGAACGCACAGUUUAUACCGUAGCUUGCUACACCAUAGACUGUGAGUUGCGAACGGGUGAGUAACGCAUAGGUAACCUGCCUGGUAGCGGGGGAUAACUAUUGGAAACGAUAGCUAAUACCGCAUAAUAUUAAUUAUUGCAUGAUAAUUAAUUGAAAGGUGCAAUUGCACCACUACCAGAUGGACCUGCGUUGUAUUAGCUAGUAGGUGAGGUAACGGCUCACCUAGGCGACGAUACAUAGCCGACCUGAGAGGGUGAUCGGCCACACUGGGACUGAGACACGGCCCAGACUCCUACGGGAGGCAGCAGUAGGGAAUCUUCGGCAAUGGACGAAAGUCUGACCGAGCAACGCCGCGUGAGUGAAGAAGGUUUUCGGAUCGUAAAGCUCUGUUGUAAGAGAAGAACGGGUGUGAGAGUGGAAAGUUCACACUGUGACGGUAUCUUACCAGAAAGGGACGGCUAACUACGUG